AAUGGCUGUAGCUCAGUGAUAGAACAUCUGCUUUCCAUGCAGAAGGUUCCAGGUUCAGUCCUGGCACCUUCA